GACGAACGCUGGCGGCGUGCUUAACACAUGCAAGUCGAACGGAAAGGCCCUGCUUUUGUGGGGUGCUCGAGUGGCGAACGGGUGAGUAACACGUGAGUAACCUGCCCUUGACUUUGGGAUAACUUCAGGAAACUGGGGCUAAUACCGGAUAGGAGCUCCUGCUGCAUGGUGGGGGUUGGAAAGUUUCGGCGGUUGGGGAUGGACUCGCGGCUUAUCAGCUUGUUGGUGGGGUAGUGGCUUACCAAGGCUUUGACGGGUAGCCGGCCUGAGAGGGUGAACGGCCACAUUGGGACUGAGAUACGGCCCAGACUCCUACGGGAGGCAGCAGUGGGGAAUAUUGCGCAAUGGGCGGAAGCCUGAUGCAGCAACGCCGCGUGCGGGAUGACGGCCUUCGGGUUGUAAACCGCUUUCGCCUGUGACGAAGCGUGAGUGACGGUAAUGGGUAAAGAAGCACCGGCUAACUACGUG
rnacentral:rRNA from 1 species